rnacentral:rRNA from 1 species
GACAGAGGGUGCAAACGUUGUUCGGAUUUACUGGGCGUAAAGCGCGUGUAGGCGGCUUGGCAAGUCGGAUGUGAAAGCCCACGGCUCAACCGUGGAAGCGCAUCCGAAACUGCUUCGCUCGAGUCUCGGAGAGGAAGGUGGAAUUCCCAGUGUAGCGGUGAAAUGCGUAGAUAUUGGGAGGAACACCAGUGGCGAAGGCGGCUCACUGGACCGGAACUGACGCUGAGGCGCGAAAGCGUGGGGAGCAAACAGG